rnacentral:rRNA from 1 species
GCAGCAGCCGCGGGAAUACGAAGGGUGCAAGCGUUACUCGGAAUUACUGGGCGUAAAGCGUGUGUAGGUGGUUGUUUAAGUCUGUCGUGAAAGCCCUGGGCUCAACCUGGGAAUUGCGAUGGAUACUGGGCGACUAGAGUGCGGUAGAGGAUAGUGGAAUUUCCGGUGUAGCAGUGAAAUGCGUAGAGAUCGGAAGGAACAUCUGUGGCGAAGGCGACUAUCUGGGCCAACACUGACACUGAGACACGAAAGCGUGGGGAGCAAACAGGAUUAGAUACCCCAGUAGUCCCUGUCUCUUAUAA